AAUUCCCUGCGCUGUUCGUGAGCUCUUUGCACCUUUUGAGCCACAAAAAUUAUUUUCGGGAUUCCAAUAUCCGGCGCGUGAUAUGUAUUCCCGUACUCCGGGAAAGAUAGAUCGCGGCAUGAGGAAGCCCACCUGAAAAAUGAGGCCCAUAUUGGGCUUCGGGCCACGGCAGCGGCGGGGAUUGC
rnacentral:other from 1 species